AGUGGCGGACGGGUGAGUAACGCGUGAGGAACCUGCCUUUCAGAGGGGGACAACAGUUGGAAACGACUGCUAAUACCGCAUAACGCAUAUUGAUCGCAUGGUCGAUAUGCCAAAGAUUUAUCGCUGAAAGAUGGCCUCGCGUCUGAUUAGCUAGUUGGUGAGGUAACGGCCCACCAAGGCGACGAUCAGUAGCCGGACUGAGAGGUUGACCGGCCACAUUGGGACUGAGAUACGGCCCAGACUCCUACGGGAGGCAGCAGUGGGGAAUAUUGGGCAAUGGGCGAAAGCCUGAUCCAGCGACGCCGCGUGAAGGAAGACGGUCUUCGGAUUGUAAACUUUAGUGAGCAGGGACGAUAGUGACGGUACCUGCAUAGCAAGCCACGGCUAACUACGUGCCAGCAGCCGCGGUAAUACGUAGGUGGCAAGCGUUAUCCGGAAUUACUGGGUGUAAAGGGUGAGUAGGCGGGAAGGCAAGUCAGGUGUGAAAUGCAGGGGCUCAACCCCUGAACUGCACUUGAAACUGCUUUUCUUGAGAGUCGGAGGGGUAAUCGGAAUUCCCAGUGUAGCGGUGAAAUGCGCAGAGAUUGGGAGGAACACCAG
rnacentral:rRNA from 1 species